GACGAACGCUGGCGGCGUGCCUAAUACAUGCAAGUAGAACGCAGUUGCGAACGGGUGAGUAACGCGUAGGUAACUGCCUGGUAGCGGGGGAUAACUAUUGGAAACGAUAGCUAAUACCGCAUACUACCAGGUGGACCUGCGUUGUAUUAGCUAGUUGGUGAGGUAACGGCGCACCAAGGCAACGAUACAUAGCCGACCUGAGAGGGUGGUCGGCCACACCGGGAAUUGGAAACGGCCCCGACGCCUUCGGGAGGCAGCAGUAGGGAAAUGUUGGCAAUGGGGGGAACGCUGACCGAGCAAAGCCGCGGGAGUGGAGAAGGUUUUCGGAUCGUAAAGCUCUGUUGUUAAGGAAGCGGUACUUAAAGAGAAAGCGACGGCUAACUACGUGCCAGCAGCCGCGGUAAUUC
rnacentral:rRNA from 1 species